rnacentral:rRNA from 1 species
UACGGAGGGUGCAAGCGUUGUCCGGAUUUAUUGGGUUUAAAGGGUGCGUAGGCGGCCAAUUAAGUCAGUGGUGAAAGCCUAUAGCUUAACUAUAGAAUUGCCAUUGAUACUGGUUGGCUUGAGUUCGAUUGAGGUAGGCGGAAUUUGUGGUGUAGCGGUGAAAUGCAUAGAUACCACAAGGAACACCGAUAGCGUAGGCA